rnacentral:lncRNA from 1 species
CAAUGGAUUGCUAUCAAGCACUUCAAUAAGUCUAAUUGACAUGAUUUUUACUAUUCUUUGUUAGUAUUUAGUGUUUACUAUUUUCUUAUCAAUCAGAAGAUCGUCAUUAAUUUCGUGUUAUUGUUUUUUGGUCGGUUAUUAUAGCAUGAAGCCAAGGCAGUGGGGAACCUGAGAAGUGAGCAAUUGUUAAUUUGAUAAGUUGUUGCUAUGAGGAAGGGGCAAGACUACUUGUAGCAGAAUUUAUGCCUAACGAAAUUCUGGCAAAACAUUUAUUUCAUUUAGAGUUUUGUAUAUAUGUAUAUUACUAUUACAGAAUUACUGCAAUUUACAUUACAUCUCGGUCGUGGAUAUUUUUCGAAUAAAUAGAACACUGAAUAUGUGUGGAGCCUAAUCAUAUUGUAUAGGUAGUAGAAAUUUAUGUCUUAGUUUAUUUUCUGAUUGCAUUCUUUUUCAGAAAGCUUAGUCACUAAAAUAAAAUAAUGGUAAAUUUGAUCAUGUAUACAUAUGCAGUCAUUUCUCAUAUGCACACUGAUUUUGAGAUCUAAUUUGAUUUAGUGAAGUGUUCUUGGAUAUAUCCCAUGCUUUCUAGGCCAAAUUGGUUUUGUAUGGAUAGUGUUCUAAUAUAUUUUAGUGGUUAUAUUGGUAUAGAGAAGCAACCCAUGAAAUGAGAACUGAGGUUGUGGGUGGCUCUGUAUUUGGCACAACCUCUAGACUACUGCAGUAGUCGUGGACAGACAUUGUACCACGAUCUUAAUGCUUACAGAGUCUUGUUUGAUAAGGUAAAAUUUGCAAUAUGUAAGUUAAGAUUUUCCUUCCAAAACUGAAUGUUUUGUGGUCUUCUAUUCAUUCACUAGCCAUACAGGAUGGGAAUCCUCUGCUCUCCUGCUUUGUCCAGAUGAAGAAUAGUCGAGAUGGCUAAAGUUACAGUACAAACUUAGCUUUCACUCCUCCAGAGUUCUCGAGAACUGGUAUAUAAUUGUGAUUUCUCUAUGAAGUGGUAAUAUUGCCCUACGAAUCUCUCAGUACAUGUGAAGUUGGAUACCAAGGUUACGAAGAUGCUCGACAAAUUACACUUGUAAUUUGCAUGCACAUCUGCACAAUUAGUGUUCUUCUUGAACUACUGUAUUAAGUUAUGGAAUAAACUACUUUGUACAAAUAAGAAAUGAUAUUAUAUAUGCAGCUACGUAAGUUUAACUUUUGGUAAUUUAUCUUCGAUGUUUGGCACGAAGAAUGACUUCAGAAAGUGUAGUUUAAGCUUUAUAACAAUGCUACUAGAUCUUCUAAGUGGCAAGCAUAUAG